GUUUUUGUGGUUCAGUGGUAGAAUUCUCGCCUUCCAUGCAGGAGACCCAGGUUCAAUUCCUGGCCAACGUA
rnacentral:tRNA from 1 species